UACAGAGGUCCCAAGCGUUGUUCGGAUUCACUGGGCGUAAAGGGUGCGUAGGUGGCUUGGUAAGUUUGAUGUGAAAUCUCCGGGCUUAACCCGGAAAUGGCAUUGAAUACUAUUGAGCUGGAGGUUUGGAGGGGGACUGGAAUUCUCGGUGUAGCAGUGAAAUGCGUAGAUAUCGAGAGAACACCAGUGGCGAAGGCGAGUCCCUGGACAACACCUGACACUGAGGCACGAAAGCUAGGGGAGCAAACAGG
rnacentral:rRNA from 1 species